rnacentral:lncRNA from 1 species
UUUGAGGUUUGUAAAAUCGUUCUAAUUUCAGUUGUCACUAGCACAGUAGCCAACUUCUUUGGAGCACAAAAAAGCACGUAGGUGGGCCAAAAUAAUUUUUUAUUUUUACCAUGAUUAGACUGGAAGAGUAAUUUUAUCUAACUGCUUAAAACAUCUUUUUCAAAGAUUUUAAUAGAAUGUUUUUUUUUCUCCCAUUAAAUGCAAACGAAACUGCAUGGACUACACAUAGGGGGCAAUUGUCUCUGACACUGAAGUGCUCCCUUCACAAACAGUAGUUUCUAGGUGGGAAUUAUUAACAAGGAGAACGAUGCCAGUGUUCUGGCUCUAUCUCCUCAACCUGGGAAACUAUAUUGUGAUCAAGAAUACCAAGUCCUUCCCACUUUUCUUUUCCUUCCACUUGUUAAAUUUUGGUACACUGCAUAUAAAAUUAAACAGCAAGUAAAAAAAUGGGCUUCAUAUCUAUCUUAUUUGUUUAAAUUUUGAUAGCGACUUUGCUUGUUUUCACUUACAGAUUUCAGAACAUUUUGAAAUGGCAUUUUGAAGUUGGAUCUUGAAGCGCAGGCAAUCAAGUGAUAGGGUGCAAAAGUCAGCAGAGAGAGGAAAGGAAGGAAGCGGCAGGAAAUGAGGAAGCAGAGGUAGCGAAGAGCACGGCACACCGGGAACUCUAAGCUGCUGGGACAGCUGGAGCACACGGCACAACGGGGAACUGCGGCGAGGAAACGGGGCUAGGGAGGCUGUGCUUCCCCCUCUCCUUUGGCAAAAAUCCCCAUCUUUAUCUCUGAAUGAGACUCAAAAGAAGACUUGGAAAAUAGAGUGAAUUUAAGAGAUGGAGAACUGGAUUAGCAUCCCAGGAUUCUACUGAUCUUGGACUCUCUCUGAUCUUCUUAGGGGGAAUAAAACGUUGAAAGGUCCCAGUGACAGCUAGAUAAAUGUUGGCUGAAUUGGAAUGUGCUGCAGAUAUUAGGCAAUCUGGGGUCCUGGUUAAAGUGUAUGAAGUACUCUCAAGGUAGAGGGAGGACUAGAUCAGGCUGGGAAAAAAAAAACCCUUAAGACUGUUCACACAGGAAAGUUUAAGGAGUGACCCUAUUGAACUUGGAGUACUUGCUUUUAGAAUAAAUGAACUGUAGAAGAUGUCCUUAACUCAAUGUAAGAGCAGAGUGGUUUAUAAUCUCCGCUGACAGGCCAAACAGAUCAUUAAAUAUUCUGUCUUUGUC